rnacentral:tRNA from 1 species
CCCUGGGUGGUGCAAAUGGUUAACAUGCUUGGCUGCUAACCAAAAGGCUGGUGGUUCAAGUCCACCCAGAGGCA